AAACAAGAGCCUUAGACACCACUUUGCUCUCUUAGGCACACCAACACUCUUCACACUUUCUUGCUCUGAGCACUUCUAAAUAGUUCAAAAUUGGAAACCUUCUUUUGAUUAUUCCUCGGAGUGGUUAAGGCCUUGGCCACCAGAGCUGAUGGCCUCACCUUAGCAUUGGGGGUUGCUGCAACCUUAGAAAGAGGUUUAACUUAGACGUUCUUUUCGGUCAUGUUGAGUGAUGAUGACG
rnacentral:lncRNA from 1 species